AGGAGGAGGAGGAGGAGGAGAGGGGGUUAUUAUUCAAGAGUGCUGCAGUCAGACGGGCUGCGAGAGGGAAAAAGGAGAAGGAGGUGGGAAAUCAGUCAAUCAGAGGCUUAUGCGGUUCACAUUUUUUGUUCUUCUCUUUUCUCUUUUUGUGUGUUUUGCAGGAGCGAAGGGAUCGGAGCAGAGAGGAGAAGAGAGGAGAUGGAUGGAGCGGUGGAGAGGAGGAGAUGAGCGCCUUAAGGUACGACUACACCCCUACUUCUAACAUGAUUUAUCUCCAUGAUUGUAUAAGCUCCUUCAAAUGACAAGAUCUCUAUCUAUCUAUCUAUCUAUCUAUCUAUCUAUCUAUCUAUCUAUCUAUCUGUUUAUUUAUUCAUGUGAGAUGAGUCCCGGGCAGAGUGUAGUGGCAGCGUGGCGCAGCGCCCGGCGCUCCUGUCCAUACAGCUGACACCCAUGGGAGAAAAGGGAGUCGCACCUGAAACCCGACAGUGUUCGGCCUCACCGGAAGCCUCACCUCUGGUUUCCUCUUGCAACAGACUCUGUGAAUGCUGGGAAUGCCUCCCGUGCUGAGGAGUUAGUGUUUGAUGUGUCGCCCCCAUCUGGUCAUAAAAGUAACUACACUGCAUUCAGAAGAUGGGUAGGUGAUGGUGCUCAGGUGAGGCCUGCUCGCUCUGUUUCCUCAUUUUAAUAAUGUUUCAUAGAUUUUCCAGCAGUGUGGCACAUCGCCACCCUCACUGAUCAAUAACUUUGGCCUGUUUGGAUCACAGACACCUGUUUGUUCUGCAGCAGCACUGAUGCAAAACUAACACUGAUGCAAAUCUGAUACUGGCAAGAAAGCUAAUAUAUUUCUCUUUUAGAGAACAAAUGAAAACUCAUUUAUCUCAUAAUAGGCCUGUGAAACCUGUGAUUUUUAAUUUUCUUUCAUUAAAAUUCAGAUUAGUGGGCAAAGUAGGACAUUAAAGGUUCAUGAUAAUAAUACUUUAGUCAGUGUUUCUAAAGAUGAUUUACUCCAACGGAAGAAAAUCCAGACCCUAACCUGUAAUUGAGGGGGCAGAAUUUCCACUGGGGGUCACUUUUAAAAUACAAUUUAUUUCCUCUCACUUUUAUUUAUUCCGAUUAAUUUACUCAUUUUCCCAGUCUCUCUAAACAGCUUCUUCUGACUGUCUAGCUGCUAAAAUUCAGAUGAGACAAAAGAGAAGGUGAUAAAAAAGUGUGACGUGCCCUUCAGUUAUUAUAGUGUGCUCAUGCAAACCAGUAACCUUAAGAAGCAGGUGACUUAUUGAUCGUCUUUGUUUUGACCUGCGUUUUACCUUUAGGCUACAUACAGGCUACUGCCCAAACCCCUCAGAGGCAGAAGUUCUUCCUGCAGCCCGAGAUAAAGACUGCAGACACCAGUCAAGGCUGAAAAUACUUCAGACUUUCCCUCUUUAGUGAAGAUGCACAUUGAAUAUCUACCAUUAUACCAUUGUCUGAGUGAAUAUUCGAUUCUGCAGGGUGUCCAUAAAUUCCUGAUGUGAGUUUGAGUGAAACAGUCUGUUCUAAAUCAAAUCACUGAAAUAAAUUGAAUGAAAACUGAUUAUGUAAUAAAUACAUCUUACUGUA